CUCUUCUGCAUUAACAGAACUCUGCUAUAAUUGUGUGAUCCAGAAUUAUCUUUUGUUUGAUGCAAUGAUGCUAGCCGAGUAUUGAGCAGAAGGAGAUGACUGUGCAUUGUGCUGCAAAUGAGACGUGGUCGAACCUCUUUCUUAAUGUUCAUUGGUCUCUGUCUCAAGGCUCACUGCCACAAAU
ensembl:snoRNA small nucleolar RNA SNORA81